UCUCUCGGGGGAGGAAGGCAGAAGUAGAAAGAAAAAAGGGAACAGACAGACGAGCGGAGGAGUAGAGGAACAGUGUGGGUAGAGUAGUGGUCGCUGCCAGCGCGGACCUGCGUAGUCGAUCGGCUCCUUUUCGCCCCACCACGCUGCCAUCCCUCGGGUACAUCGCCGCCACCACCUCUGUUGGGAUCUACCACGGGGCGCUCGGUGGGCUGGAGGAACGGAACGGUACCUAGACGAGGAGGGUAAAGGAAAGGCAGCUAAACGAAAAAAAGCGUCACGGUGGCACCUAACCCAGUUAAACCAAAAGUGCAUACCUAGACCAAACGGGGGUAAAGGAAACGUGAUUAAACCCAAAGAGGAACGAAAGUAAAAACGGAGAGAAAAGAAGACGUCGAGGUGAUCAAGAAACAACGACGGCGAGAAAACCAACUGACGGUACCUUGGCAAACCGACUCUAGAGACGAAAGAAGCAGCAGCAGGUAGCCAGGUUCAACAAGAAAAGACGAGACAACGGAAAGCCAACGAAGACUUCGUACGACGCCUAAGCAACACGGAGGAAGGUUAGACCACAAGACACGAGGUAAACCAAGUAGAUUGAGAAGUACUUGGCAGAGAUAUGAGUACGUACAUGGAGCUACAAUUAAAAAAAUUGUUCAACAACUUCUUCCGUCUACCAAGAUCCGAAGAGCAACGUAGGAUGUGAGGGACAGGCCCCUUAGUUAUCUUUCCCAAGCGGGUGGAAAACUCUAGCGAGAUCUCUUUGACUUUCCUAGGCAUCUUAGUCUUCGUAGUUUCUUCAGGUCAACCCCGCCCCCUAUUUCGCAGCCCUCUAAACUUUUCUUCCUCUUCGUUCCUUUGUACUUAGUUAUCUAGUCAACCACAAUGUUCUCCAUUAGAUUCUUCAACUAGAUGCUUGUCUCCUUCCGAUCAGAACAACUUUCCGGGUUGCGUGGGUUGUUGAGACGACCACGACCGUAGAUACUUUUCCCUACGACUUAUUGGAACAACAGAAGAUAGGAAGGGUACCCUCCCGAUGACUAACUAUAUCUAACAACACAAAUAAACAUCUUAUUUUUGACUUUGAGGACUACAACCUAAACAUAAACAGUAUCCCAAAAGAUAGAACCAGGCGGAAAAAGUAAGGUAUAUAUACUACAGAUGAUACGUUGAAAUAAGAACAUCUGAGCACAACCCGGAGGUUCGUAUCUCAAAACAUCCUGUUAUCGUUAAAAGGGAAUUCACCUACUGGAUUC
rnacentral:rRNA from 1 species